CUGAGGCAAGAGAAUUGCUUGAACCCUGGAGGCACAGGUUGCAGUGAGCCAAGAUCAUGCACUCCAGCCUGGGCAACAGGGUAAAACUUCAUUUCAAAAAAAAAAAAAAAGAAAGAUCAAUAGUUUUGAUACCUCAUUCACCACUCAGCUUGUUUGAGGAUACUCUUACAUUUGGUUUCUACAGCCAUAACUCAGAUUGGAAAAAACACAUUUUAUUUAUAAUUAUUAGUGUUAAGCUCAGAUAUUUAGUUGAUUUAAAGUAAAUAUUACUAUGAAAGCAUCAAGGUAUUAAAAAUACACUGGCAUUAAUAUACAACAGGUGAGUUCUGAAAAAUUUAUCUUGUUGGCAUUUUAAAGGAUUAGCUAACUCAAUUCUAUGCCCAUUUGAAUUGAAGGAAACGCAGGAUGAAGAAUAAAUCUGAAAUCUAGAAACAGUUGAAGCUUUCUUAUAAAAACAUUUGCCAGUGUUCUCUUUUAAAUUUAAAAUAGUUUUGCAUUUUUCUUUAUCUCAAUUUGCCAUUCAUGUUGGUUUCCCAAAGGAGAAGUUUGUAAUGGUUAUGUAAGCUAAGACUCUCUUAAGUAACUGUAUAUAUUUUGUUUGUCCUAUAGCCAGUAUUUAAAAUAUUGGCUUUUGAAAGUGGAAAAUAUAAAUUAGGUUAAUAGAGAAAAUUUUGUUUUAGGACAAGGAAAAAGACUCAUAAUUUUAUUUAAUAUAACUGACUUGCAAUGUAUUAUUUAGUAUAGAAAAGAUUACAAUAAACCCUGAGCUAUUGCUUUUAAAGUUUUAAAGUGUGUGUCAUUUGUUAAACAUUGCUUUACAAAACUGUAUGGUUAUAGAUUUUAAAUGCCAAGGGACAAACAGUGAUGCAAUCCUUUAAUAACUGGUAUAAUGAAUAGAGUAUCUAGUGAUUUGUGAACUCUGUAUAAUCAUCUAUAAAAAAUAUUGACCACUUGUCUGGAAUUUUCACCUUUCCAGGUACUUAACUCCUUUUCAUUGCUGGUGGUCCUUCUUUUUAUUUUGCUACUUAACAUAUUUAUGCCUGGUGUUCCAUUAUUGGAACACUAAGCUUGUAGGUGUUAUUUAUAUCCUACCACUCAAGUUCAUCGCCAAGGUCUGAUUUUUCACCAAAAAUUUGCAACCUCUGGCAUAAAUGGAUUAAUAAUAGAAGCAAAGAUA